UUCCUCAAUCACACGCUUAUUUCCUUCUCCAUUCAGAAACCCUAAAUCUUAUUUCUCUUCAUUACCUUUACACACGGUUUAUCGAUCGUCGCCUCAUCCCCAAAUUUGUUUCAAUCAUAUUACAAUCACAACUCUAAAUGUCAGCUGAUUUUAACAUAUGUUGAUCGACAAUCGAAGGUAUCAAGAUGUUGAUCGACAACACCAGCAGCACGUAUUCUUAUGUUGCCGGUUUGAUUAUAGAACCUUAUCGAUCGGUUGAAGAAGAGAUACGACCCAGGUUUCCAUGCCCGUAUUGCUAUGCGGAUUUUAAAGAAUUAACAUAUUCUUUGUCAGGUUGUUUAUGCAGCAAUGUCUAAAGCAAGAAUGCAGUCUGGGCUAUGCAGGGAUAGUAGGAAACAAGUGUAUCUAGGUAAGCAAUUAUGAGCUUGAUGUCCUUUUGGUUUGACUUGAUUUCCUAGACACUGGAUUAAAGUGUUCAGCGUGUUCAUACAUAGUGGAAAUAUCAAAGGGAGUAGACUCCCUCGGUUCAAUAUUUAUACAGUUCGUUUUUAGUGGUUUGACAACUUGAAACUUGAAUCAAGUGUUGGUAAACAAACCUAGCGGCUUUCUCUCAACAAUCUAAGAGAGAAAACGGGACAAGUUCCUACACAAGUUCAUCUAAUCUUAUUAUGGAGCCGCAUCAACUAAUAGAAAUCAAACCACCUCAACUUUCAGGUUUUUUGAAGAGACAUUUGGACUGAUCCGGUGUUAUAUCCGAGUCUGACUAAGAGCUGGUGUCUAACAUGGUUGUUUGGGACUUCAAAUCCAACUAAAAUCAAGGACCCGACUGAUCAAACUGGUAUAGACAAUUACAUGGUGCAGGAACUAGAUGGAACCAAAAAUGAGCGGGGUUGGUGCAAGCAAAAGCUUGGCGCAAAUGCCAUUCUGGCGGUGUCUCUUACAGCUGCAAAGCGGGAGCGAGUGUCAAAAACAUUCCUCUUUACAAGACAUAUGAACUGUUGAAAAAAGGUCAGAAGACGCUUUAGAUGUAUUAUAUUGGGUUUUUUAAAAAGCUGAAAACUUGAGGAGAAAAUGGAAGUUGUAAAUGAACAAGAUUCUCAUCAUCCACUCCCUCCUGUUCGUGCUUCAACUCCUCAACUUAUAAACAGAUACAUGGAGUUAACCAGCGGGAUUUGAUAAUGAAGUUUAAAUGUUGAAUUUGAGAAAAUGGCUAAAGCUUUUGUGGUUGGAGUUUCCACAUAUUCACAAUCUUUGCCUCUUACGAGGAGGUGAUCUAUCAAUAAGGGGAUACUUCUUUAUAUGUUGCUGCAGAGAAUGGGCAUGUUUAUGUAGGGAGCUUUUCGAACCCGCUUUUUAUCUUUGAUAAUGGUAUUUCGUUCAAAAUGAACUCGACUUGAAUAUAUGAUGCUUAGGGACCGUGGUUGGUCAUGCAAGGCGUGAGGAAAAAAGUUUGUUUGUUUGGCAUUAAUAUAGGCUGAUCAAUAGUUUGGUUAUAGAAAUGGCUUUUUUGACACAUGUGCAUAUGACAUCCAUCACUUUCAAAGCAUGACUUACAACCAGUUCUGCAUAAAAGCACAGUACCAAAUCUUACUGGCCAGUCGGAGCGGAAACUAGCUACACAAGCAGCCCAGUCAAGUACUCUUGAACCGCCUUCUAUGCUGGUUGUUGAACCGGCGAACCGGAUUGAUGCAUUGUUGUGGCGUACGAAUGACCACACCCAUGCAAGGAAGUCCCGGUGGUGACGCGACUAGCGUUCCGUCGUUGGAGCUGUGUGACAGUGGUGUACGAACGGGUAUUCAGGUCAACGGUGGUGGUUGUGGCAGCAAGAUAAAAACAUAUUGUAUUGGACUUUGCUUCUGUUGCGGGUAAAAAAUGCACUUACGACGCCUUAUGAUUGAAAGCAGAAAGUUUGUUGGAGGGUAUUGACAACCUAUCAAAGUCAAAGACAAAGCACACAUGAAUAUGUUGAAAAGAAGGUGAAAGUCGGUUACAAGUGGGAUUGCAAGUUUUGUGUAUAUAUAUAUAUAUCUAUUAUAUAUAUGCACCCAGCUCAAAAGCCUUGAUGGGGGGAAAUCGAAGUAAUUCUGAAUAUUCUUAUUUUUGUGAUCAAUAAUGCUAUACAUCAUUGCCAGUAUUUGUGGGUUUACUAUUGUGAUUGAGAAUACCAGUUUUUAACUGUCUUCAGUUGGAAACAUACCAUUUGAUGCUGGCCAAAAUUUUAAAUGGUCGAAUUGUGUAUCAAAUGAGGGGUUUUGUUUCUCAACCGUUUCAGAAAUGGUUUGAUGAUGUGAUGGCUGCUGUCUUGAAGGCGCCAAAUGCUAUGGAUUUGUGCCCGAAUGUCAGUCCGAAAUUGUUUCAUUUGUCUAAUCUCUAAAUUAUCCUACAAUAUGUACAAAUAACAUAUUGCAGGAUAAUUGUGGCUAUAUUUGUGUUGAAUGUAGUUCAAUACGAGUUGUAUUACUGAAAGGGUUUGACAAAUAUUUGUUACUGAACAAGUGUUAUAUUUAUUCUAUUAUAUUAGAUUAUGAAUUGACAGAUAUCAUGUAAUUGAAAUUUCAAAAUUCAUAGGUUGAAGUUCAAGUGUGCAAGAUUCAUUGCGUAAGCAAGGCUCCUCCUAGGCUUACUAUAAAUGUUGAGGAUGCAGCCACGAGUGAGGCUGAAAUUUACAAGGCUUUAGAGAAGUUGCCGAUUUGUUGAAAAACUAUCAUUGGGAUCUCAAUGAGUUUCAAAACCUGCUAAGAAGGGGACAAUGGGAAUGAUGUAAGUCAACCUGUUAAUCGGCUGCUUACCCCUUUGAUCUCGUAUGUUAUGGAUCCAGUUGUUGCUUAUUUUCCCAAUGGUUAUGCUUCUUCUGCGUAUUACUACGGAGAUUAUGAUGGGGAUGCCAAUGGCUGGGAUGAUUACUCGAGAUACGUAACCCCUAUUGGGGCGUCUCAUGUGUUUAUGAAGAUUAGGGGUCAAUUAUGUAUCCUGGUGGGAUGAUGCCCAUAAGUUGUUGGAUGAGAUGAUAAGGUGUGAUUCAUCAAAUAUUCAUGAGGUUAUUGGCCAGAUGAUUAGGGAGAUUACGAUGAUGCUUCUAAUUGGCAAAUGGUGGAGUAUAUUUUUUACAAACUCAACACUAAAGGUUUUGGUUUAGGGUUAAGAUUUUACAACACGCUUCUAGCAGCUUUUCGGUGGUUAGGACAAAAGUAAAAAGUUGGAAGAGUGCUUAAAGAAGCAACAAAAAAAUGGACUUUUUCCUGAAAUGUUCCGCAACGGCACACAUGUGUGUCUGUUGAUGUACACAGGUGGUCUUCCAUGUUCUUCCUCAUCAUCCAACUGUGACUCCGCCCUCUGAUGGCACCCAGGUGGUUUGGCAAGUCAUCUCACAAUGGUGUAAACUACAAGGUAUAUUUUAUACAAACUUGAGAGAUGUUUUGGGGCUAUCCAGCUUUGUUCCAGGUUCAAAGAAGAAGGUUUACCCGGUCGAAAUGCGGCGAGUGCUACUUCUAUUAUUGUUAACUCUGAAAACGGUUCAGUUGGUUAAAGUUUUUCGGGAACAAGUUAGGAAUGGUUCCUUCGACUGAAGUACAUGUUAUUGAAGCCGAGUUUAAGGGGGAUGGAAAUACAAGUUUGAAAAAUCAGGCUAAGUAAGAUUAGGCCUAAUCGUGAUUUAUGAAAACAAAGAACACAAGGAGCUGCUUAUGAGUUUUAAUGCGUUAGCAACUUAAGUUUUAAGUUUUUUUAAAAUUUGUAAUAGAGUAGUAGUUUUGUGUUCGUUUGUUUGAAUCACCUUAUAGCAUGUGAUUGUAAACUUAUAAAAUAAUUGAACUGG